rnacentral:rRNA from 1 species
UACAGAGGGUGCGAGCGUUGUCCGGAAUCACUGGGCGUAAAGGGCGCGUAGGUGGUGACCUAAGCGUGCGGUGAAAGCCCGAGGCUCAACCUCGGGUCGGCCGUGCGAACUGGGUCACUGGAGCAGAAUAGAGGCAGGUGGAAUUCCGGGUGUAGCGGUGGAAUGCGUAGAGAUCCGGAAGAACACCGGUGGCGAAGGCGGCCUACUGGGUUCUGGCUGACACUGAGGCGCGACAGCGUGGGGAGCAAACAGG